rnacentral:lncRNA from 1 species
AUACUUUUAGGAGUACCAAUUAAAUUUUUGGUACUUUUACCUUUUUAUUUUUUACUUAAAAUCUAUUCAAAUUGACGAUUGAUGCCGUUUAGAAUCAUCUAGAAUUAAUCAUCUGAAAUAUAUAAACAUUUUAGAACUAAAUUACAUAAUAUUUAAAAACUAUUUUAUAAUUCAUCAACUGUCCCACAAUUUAAACUGAUCGUAAUAAAAACACAU